GCCAGCAGCCGCGGUAAUACGGAGGGUGCGAGCGUUAAUCGGAAUUACUGGGCGUAAAGACGCAUGCAGGUGGUUUGUUUAAGUUCAGAUGUGAAAGACCCGGGGCCGUCAACCUACCGGAAUAGCAUUUGUAAACUAGGCAGACUAGAGUACUGUAGAGGGGGGUAGGAAUUUCAGGUGUAGCGGUGAAAUAGCGUAGAGAUCUGAAGGAAUACCGGUGGCGAAGGCGGCCCCCUCGGACAGAUACUGACACUCAGAUGCGAAAGCGUGGGGAGCAAACAGGAUUAGAUACCCUGGUAG
rnacentral:rRNA from 1 species